rnacentral:tRNA from 1 species
GCCCGGAUGGCGAAACAGGCAGACGCAGCGGACUUAAAAUCCGCCGCCCUUAAUCGGGCAUACCGGUUCGAACCCGGUUCCGGGCACCA